rnacentral:lncRNA from 1 species
UCCUUAGUCCCCCGGCGUCAACUCCCUGCUGGGCUCGGCGAGGCUGGGCUGCGCGCUCUCAUUGGGUGUAGCCAACCCAGAGAAGUCGCCGGCCUCUUCUUCCAGUGGGGAGUCCAUCUGACCCAAGACAGUGGGAGGCCAAGGACCGAGUGCAGAGCUGGUGCACCUCGGGGACGCUGAGUCCCAUGCUGGCCCUGCACUCACAAUAUAGCCCAGACUGACCUUGAACUCAUAGCAAUCCUCCUGCUUCAGCCUCUCAAGUGCUGGGAUUACAGGUAAAACAAAAAAAAGGAAAGCAGAGCUUCAAGAUGAUGCUGAUACUGCAGGAAAAGCAAAAAGACAGAGCAGGAGUUUCCAGCCCCAUAGAAAGGAGCGCCUGACAGCCCCAGCUCUGGUGAAACCUUGGCUCUGACCUUUUUCAGUCUCAUUGCUCACACGAACUACGUCUUUUACUGAAAUCAAAACGACCUUUGUAUUGUUAAAAAAAAUCAUUCCAAUAUUGUUUAUUUCAUUUUUAGAGCAUGCUUCUUAGACUCUGUUUUGCAUGUUCUAUGAUGAAUAUAUUUUUAUAGUCAAAUAUGUAUAUAAUUUAUAAGUGACUAUAAAUACACAUAUAAUUUAUAAAUGUCCCUCUGUGUGUUUUGCAGUCACAAAUGUGAUCUGAGGACUGAAUCCAGGACCUUCAUACUAAGCUACAUCCCUUGCCUCUUUUUUAUUUUUCAUUUUAAGAAACAAUCUU